rnacentral:rRNA from 1 species
UGCGGAGGGAUCAUUACUGAGUUAUUUACAACUCCAAACCCAUGUGAACUUACCAUCGUUGCCUCGGCGGGUCGAGCCUACCUGGUACUUACCCGGUAGGAGCGCCGCCGGUGGACAUUCAAACUCUUGUCAUUACUGUGGCUUCUGAGUAGUUAUCAUAAUAAGUUAAAACUUUCAACAACGGAUCUCUUGGUUCUGGCAUCGAUGAAGAACGCAGCGAAAUGCGAUAAGUAAUGUGAAUUGCAGAAUUCAGUGAAUCAUCGAAUCUUUGAACGCACAUUGCGCCCAUUAGUAUUCUAGUGGGCAUGCCUGUUCGAGCGUCAUUACAACCCUUAAGCCUAGCUGCUUAGUGUUGGGAACUCACCGUAACUGGUGACUCCUCAAAGGUAUUGGCGGAGUCGAGUCGAACUCUGAGCGUAGUAAUUUUUUUUUUCUCGCUUCUGAACUCCUCUCGGCGACAGCCACAAACCUACUAUACUUCUAGUGUUGACCUCGGAUCAGU